UAUUAAUAUUUGUUCAAUCAUUUGGAUAAAAUGGAUGUGUUUGAGACUGUGUUGCUGCCUACGCUAUUGUUUGGCUCUGAUGUCUUGUUGCUUUUUGUUUGUUUGCCAGAAGAAAAUUUGUCUGCUACCAAUUCCAGCCCAAUUUUGGAGCCAGGUUUACCUGAAGAUGAAAUGCAAAGUGACUGCAUGACCUAAAACACUUUUGCUGAAUCAGUGCUGGUGCUCAUCAGACCUAUUUACAAGAGAACGAUGUUCCAGCCAACUGAGCCACCCUGUCCAGCCUAGUCAUUAUUUUUGAGAACCAAUAGGGCAAAGGUAACUUAGACCCAAAUGCUUGUUUCUGUAUAAGCAUUUUACUAGACUUCCCACC